AUGAAGCUUCGUCUCUCUCGCGGAAAUUCGGAAAACUCGCUAUUGUCUUAUAUGCCGGAAGUUUCCGUCAAAUCGUCGCAAGAUGAACACGGAUCCUACUUGUUUCGGUCACAUGAACAUGAACCCAUCGUUCAAUUCUUCCAAAUUGUCACGAAUCAACGGGAUCGAAGUCCUCUUCCAAAAAACCUAGGUGUUGCGAAUUUCACAGUGGCAACGCUAAAUUUCUAG